rnacentral:tRNA from 1 species
AGGAUAAAAGUUUUUAACAACAUUUAAUUUGCAUUUAAAAAAUAAUGAUAAUAUCAUUUUAUCUUU